CUUAAUUAAACAUUUAAAUUAUACAACCCCAGACUUAAGCUACUCUAGACUUGGAUUGGACAAGACUUUAUGAGGAACUUCAAAAUAACACUCAAAUAGUUAACUAUUAGAAAGCUCGGGUAAUAGGUCACAACAGCUAGCAAAAUUAAUAGAAGACAGGAAAAAAAUGUGCGUUGCUUCCCAAGAAUCUGAUUUAACCUUUUCCCAUUGGUAUAUUUAAAGCUUCUUCUAUUUCAAGGCAAAUAUCAGGCUGCAUUGUGAAAUUCAUCCUAUUGUAAUUCUGAUCAUUGUUUUGCUUUGCAUUUUUCUUGCUGGUUCUUCAGGCAUUGGCAAUUUGCCCCUCGCCCAGAAAAAGUUAAAAGGACAGUGGAGAUAAUGAAGUAUUGUAAUGUGACGAUUUCUUAAUAACACAAGGAGGUGGUCCUUGGAAAUAUUCAAAUGAAGAGUAGGAGCCUUCCAUCUCCCCGGAGAAGAUAAGGGUCGGGGAGCAUUGUUUUGCAUUGUAAUCAAGCUGCAGCCCCCGCAGACCUCCUGGCUUCCUGGGAGAGGUCUCACUAUAGCCAACUGGACUCCAAAUGGCCAAAGCUACAGGUAUUCCUGGUUGGGAGAUUGUUUUCAGUUCUGUGUCUCCAACACACUUCACAGCCACGGAGAAAGGACACGUUUCCUUCAGUGGAGAUGUGUUCCUUAAAUAUCCAUCUGGAGGAAAAAGAAAAGAAAACACUUCUUUCCUCAAGUGUCACCAUCAGGCAGAAAAGGGAAAAGUCAUCAAUGCACUGAGUCUUUUUCCCCUGUGAAAGUGCCUCCCUGCGCCAGGGCCGGGCGUGGGGGCUGGAAGACUGUACCAACCUUAAGUCUCACUGUGGCAUGCCAAGUGGUUCCUAUGCCACCUGUCAUCUGAGCCCAAACCUCUGUGUCUUAUCAGUGCUUCACAAAUGCAACAGGCCUUUGUGGUAGAAAGGUAGAAAAGUUUCCUGUUCUGGUCACUUCUUGGGGUCUUCCUUGAAUUGUGAAGGUGGCCAGGUUCACAUAAAAGGUUAAUCAAGUGUUUGCAUUUCUCCUGUGAAUGUGUCUUGUGUUAGUUUCAUUUCCAGGCCCAGCCGGAGACCCAAAGAUGGUAAAGGAGCAUUUACCUUCCAUGUCCCUUUGGGUCACCCCUGCUCCCCCCAAACAGAGAUGUAUGUGCAAAGGCUUCUCCAGCAGUGGUGGGAAAGCGGGGAGAUGCUGAGGGGACUUGGAAAGAAAGAGGAAAGGAAGGGGCAAUGCAAGAAGGGUCCAAGUGAGAGACCCCACACCAGCCCCUCCCCCAGGAACUCAAAAGGUGCAUUUCCUCUGGGAAGCAAUGGAGAUCAGGCCCGGAGAAUUUCCACCGGCCCCCUUACAAUUUAAAAAUGGUCAAGCCCUGACAGGGAUAAGUCAAUGCUUCCGCCCUCAGAGGGACUUGCAUUUCAAUGCCCUUGAGUUCCUAGAGGCGGGGAGAGCCUUCCAAGUGUGCGAACCCACAAUGGCCCCUCCCCACUGGAGAGGCCUUUAUUCCUGGAGGCCAUUGUGAGCAGACCCGACGAAUUUCUCAGACUUCCCUUAAAACUUAAAAGUGCCCCAAGACCCAAGCUUGGAGAAGCAAAUGUCCCGCGGGCAAAGGGACUUGCAUCUCAAUGCUGUGUCCUUUGAAAGGAAAACAGGAUUUUGGCCAGCUUUCCUGAGUUCUUCAAAACAAAGAUCUGGAAAACCAAGCUGGAUCUCAGGAUUAGACCCUACAGAGCGUCUGCAACCUGGAAGUCUUUUUUUUUCCCCCUCUUUUAAGAAAUAAUAAAUAAACCCUGACCGCUGCCGGACA
ensembl:lncRNA